UUUUGCUUCAACUACCCCAGACUAACACGGCUACAUUUCUAUCACUAUUCUACAGGGGAGAGAAUGACGCCAGCAGAGCUAGGAAGGGCUGUCUACCCACCUUAGGCCUAGAGGCCAAUGUUUAUCUUUUCUCUGCCUUAGUUUGCUUGCUGCUCUGCCCUGCCCAGAUGGCCAGAGCCUACUAGACUGUCUGGCAUUUGGCUCUGCCAGGAGGCCAGGGCCUCAGACUGCUUCCUGAUCUGCCUGACCCGCAGCCCAGCAGGUCCGAGUCUUCAGAGUGCUAGUUCCCUUUAAGCUUCCUUGGACAGGCAUGCAGUAGUGCGGAAGCAUGGCUUCCCUCCGCAGCUAACGGGGAGGGAUGGUCACGGAUCCUUACAGAAAGCAAAGGGAUUUCCUAACUCCAAUGACCUCACUAUUAAAGCCCUUGAGAGUUAAAAGAGCUUUGAAAACAAGCACAAAGCAAAUUCCAUCUCCUGCUCUGAGCUGGACAAACUCCCAUCUGGGGCCAUGUCCAGGUUCCUCUUGCCCUCUCCUUUCUCUGCACUUCUGGAUUACACACGGCCCCCUCCCCCCAUCCAAUGCUCCCUAGAGCCAGUCACUAAGAGACAUUCAGAGUUGGCAGCUGCAGCUCGCUGUGUCCUGGAUGGUCCUUCACCAAGGGUCAAGCUCUUUCCAGUCCGGGGCAUUUCUAUGGGUUGCAGGAUAAUAGAAGGCUUCGUGGCAGUUGUGUCAGAUGGAAUGUUGGCUUCAUGGAGGUUCCAUGGCAGUUGGAACAUUGGCUUCACGGAGGUUCCAUGGCAGUUGGAACGUUGGCUUCAUGGAGAUUCCAUGGCAGUUGGAACGUUGGCUUCACGGAGAUUCCAUGGCAGUUGUGGCAGAUGGAAUGUUGGGCUUAUGAAGAUUGAAGCUAGAAUGUUCUGUGGGAAAUGGGAUCUGAGUGGGAGCAAUGGGUAAGGGCUCCCUGCUGUGAUCAUUUCUAAGGAGCUGGUUCUGCCCCAGCAGUCCAAUGGCACUCAGCACAGCUGGAGAAGCAUGCCCAAUUCUGGGCACCAAGCUCUGCAAAAGAUGUGGACAAACUGGAGAGUCCGGAGGCAAGGAACAAAACAAUGAAAGGGUUAGAGAACUCAUGAAGGAAGGAUAAAAAAUAGGGUGUGAUUAGUCUUGAAAAAAGAAAAUUGAAGGGGAACCCCCAAGCAGUUUUCAAAUGCAUUAAGGGUUGUUGUCAUGGGGACAGCGAUCAGUCGUUUACCGUGCCCAACGAAGCUCAGAGUCACAUCCGGCUGCGGAUGGGGGUGUAGGGCCCGGUGACUCUCCACACUCCGUGACACGGAUGGUCAGUCUCUGGGGGAUGGACAUGCUAUUGAGAAGCCCAAAGCCAUUUUCCACCCCUCGGAGGUCUCUCUGCUGCUGUACCACCUUGUUGGCCUCACCCCGUUCCAGGAUCUGUGAC